CCGGUCGAGCCUCACUAGACAUCAAGCUAUUUGGCUGUUUAUAACGUUAGCUUUGGGCAACAGGGUUAAGUAGUUGGCUAGCUAUUCAAUAGUCGAACAACAAGUGACUACCUAGCUAAUACUUAACAAGGAUUCCUAAAUCAUUGCUAAGAAUAAUGAAAAUGACUGCAGUUUGUACUGGUCAUUGUUUUCAGGUUGGUUGUAUCGGUGCUAGCUAGGUACCAAGCUAAAGUUAGACCGCUACUUCUAGGGUAGCUAGCUAACAAAUAAUAAACAAAUAAUGGCUUAUUACCAACGCGGUAUUUUAAACAAAUCGUUCGUGGCCUCCGUGUGCUUGUUUGCAGACUUUUUGUUGUACAACUUUUGACAGUGCUACUGAUAGUGCUGGCGCUGGGCUUACGCAUGUAAAUUCAGCACACACAACAUUAUAUAGUAGCAUUGUGUUAUUUGACGUGUCAAAUUAAAAGCUUAUUUAACGCGUAAAAUAGUGUUGUUUGACGUGUAUCUUUUUGUUGACAUGCAAAGACCUAAACGGCAAACGCCGUUCCAUAGCUGAGUCACGGAGACAACAGCACGCCCGCAAGUCGUGACAACUUUGUACCAGUUGUAGAUGGCUGGACCGGAAACCCAGUGACAAUAUUCGGCUCUGCAGCUGCCAUUUUCCUGUGGGAAAGCGAAAGGGCCCUGUAUUUACCAGAAAAGGUAGCUCAUCUACCACGGCAGGAGAGAAAGAUCCAGACUGUUGAUUGGGAAACAAGAACAAACAAUGAGGCAUGACGAUUGGGUGUUCAGGGACAACUUGUCACAUUGUCCAAGUCCCAACAGGAGAGGAUCCUUCAGCCUAUCCGGUGCAUGGCCAUCCUGUUCCAGUGGGAUGUGAGCGUCCAGUUGCGGAGACUACAGCACAUCGAGCCUGUGGACAGACAGCUCAGUACUGAACAGGAGGAGCCACGAAGAACCACGAAGAAGCAGGUGUCUCUUCCAGUGAUGUGGAGCUGACCCAGGACCGGUUGCCAGUAAGGAUGGUCUUCACGGAGGCUGUAAGACCCUACUUCCUAGAUAUAGAACUCCUUUGACUUCACUGCCUCUUCAAUGGUACAGUAAAGGCCCUUGCACCAUAGGGACCCUUGACCUCCAGCACUGCUGUGGUGCCCACCACACCAUCCAGUGAAGCACCCAGGAUCCCAGACCGUGUGACCCAAAGCCCUGACUCCUGCACAUCCAUCUUUGUAGACAUUUUGAAUGCCUUGAUGCAUUCCUCUUUGUUAACUGUGCCCCACUUUACAGACAUCACCCUAUCCAACAACUGUGAUCUGAGGACUCUUUUUAUUUAUUUUGUAUUUUUUAAGCAGCGACGGAGUAAUGCACUUAGCCCUAACCACUGCCCCAUAAUUGCUGGCCGUCAACUUUCCUCUCCUCAUGGUGUGCCAGUUGGGGUUGUUGUGCUGUCCAACUGUUGCCUGCCUUAAAGCCUCCUGCUUCUCCACCGACAGCGUCAUGCCAGCCAGGAUGCCUGCAUGCCCCAGAGAGGGUAGCGGUUGAUCUGGCUCAGGUUUAAGGAGACAUGCCAUUCCACUGAACCGGUUCCUUAGUCACUGAAGAACCUCCUCUGUGGGCUCUCGGGACAGAGGGUUGUAGUCUUCAGCCAGGUACAGAUCCUCCACUGACUGCACCUGGUUGGGCACGGUUGGCUUUCUUCACUCGCAUUCCAUAUCCGUAAGGCCAAUAUUGUUAACCACCAAAAUAGGCUUCAUGGCUACACUGAUGAGGUCGAUGGAGGCAUUCCCAUGUGGUAGAGAGAAUCCCCUGGUCACCUAUAGAGGCCUGCCAACAGGAAGUGGUCACCUCUAGCGACCUGCCAACCGGAAGUAUGUUAAGUGCUACAUGCCUUUCAAUGCACGACUUUGAACAACUUGAAAUUAAUUUGUUAUAAAAAAUGUGCUAUAUAAAUAAAGUUUGAUUUGAUUGAUGACAUUA